CAAGACAAACGGAAAAUAGGUAUGCAUUUUGAAACCGUUCUUGUGACAGACAAGUUUCGUUAAUUUUUUUCUUUCGUUAAAGCUGUGUCGAUGUGUCAAAAGUUCAAAAUCAAAACAAAAAAACGUGUAAUAUUCUGGAGAUUUGACCCCUGAUAAGACCAUAGUGCCCAAUAUACCGGAUCGAAAUAUGACCAUCACCGCGACAACUGUGCGAUAAUCUGAAUGUCAAAAUAAAGAUCAUUCGUUUACGGAUCGUUGUACUGACAACACCUUCAGCCUUCUGUUUAUUCUUCUACUUUGCGAUUUCGUGCCUUUGUUAUAACUUGAACGUUUAAUUCAAAUUGGUAAAAUUCGUGGUUUUACAUCUCAAAAGUGGGAUACGUCCUAUCGCCUGCACCUGCUUUGCUGUCCAAUCCAGCACGGCACAAGAUUGUGUAUCGAAGAGUUUGUUUGUUUGUGUGUGAGAUGACGCUACCAUCUGCCAUUGCAAUGCGCAAAAACGAGAAGCUUCUGUGUGUGCUUGCCGGUAUAGGCAGCCAAUUAGAUGUUUAGGCAACGAUUUGCCUCAUGGCUAGACCAGAUUACGCCAGAUUCACCAGCCACAACGAUAUCGAUCCCUGCAACCCCAAAGACACCAGCCUUGCAUUUAGUGUGGCCGCCAUCUUGUUCAUCUUGCACGACAAUGACGACACCGCCAUUUAGUAUGAAUACGGCCGCUGGCUAUUCUUUUAUCAUCGCUCCUACUUGGAAUACUGGAAAAGCUUCGCGCAUCACUUCUGUUAUUGCAUGUGCACCGCACGCCGUGUUGUCAUCGCCUCCGAUUCAUCGUGUGUAUUGCCUUCCGCCACUUUAUGGAUUGACCCCGCUACCACCCUCUACCGCCGCGUCAUGUUCGAGUGCUGUGGCAUCAGUUGUAGCAUGCUGAUCUGUUGAACAACAAUCAUCGUGGUGUUGUUCAGUAUUCAGGUUCAUCCUGAUCGACAUUGUCCUUAUGCUUGGCUGUAACUUCUGUAAACGUCAGCAAGACUUCUGGAGGAGAUGCCGAUCAGCGGCAGCAGUACUUACACCUACUAUGAGAUUGAUUCAACCGCACGCAUCACAUGACGACAUCAUUCAGGAUCAGUUCUUUUCGAUAUCAGCAUUGUCCUCAUGCUUGGCUGUAACUUCCGUAAACUUCAGCAAGACUUCCGGAGGAGAUGUUGGUCAGAAAAGCAGCUGUGAUUGAAAUUGACACCCACCUUGAAAUUGACCCAACUUUACGCAUCAUAUGACGACAUCAUUCAGGAUCAACACCUUUCGAUAUCAACACCUUUCGACAACACCUUCAGCCUUCUGUUUAUUCUUCUACUUUGCGAUUUCGUGCCUUUGUUAUAACUUGAACGUUUAAUUCAAAUUGGUAAAAUUCGAGGUUUUACAAACGUAAACAAGUUUAUUUAAGACACGAUCGUUUAUCAAGCUAACAAUCCUUGUUUAAAACAUCGAAAUGAUUUUAUCCCACUUCGUAAGUGACGAUAGCGGCAGUGAAGAAGAAACAACGGUAGAUCUGGCAAAACAGCGCCGACUGCUUCGAAGUGUUUUCGACCCGUUACAGCUUUAUAACCAAGCAUUUAAGAAAAAAAAUUCGUGUGUCGAAGGAAAUUUUCCUUGACAUUUUGGCGGAGAUCGAGCCCUCCGAGUAUUUGUUAUUACUAAAAGUGUAUGCAAUAUUAGAUGUGAUAAUUUCAUGUGCGUAUGCUGUUGGUUGUUGAAGCAGCCACUCACUCAAGAAGUUGCUGGAAUCCAAUGCUGUUGAACGCAAACCAGGUGCGUGAGCCCUUCAUCUUUCGACUACCAUCGAAGAACAACAGAGGAAGGAAAUAACAGCAGCUUCUUAACCCAAAACAGCAGCACGCUACCACUAUCUCCAGCUUAUCGCCAUUUGUAUGGAUAUGGCAGUACACAUAUUUUUAUUUAAAAUGAUAAAAUUUGAUUAUUUCUGAAAUAAAAUACUUAUAUUUUGUCGUGAAAGCAACAGCAACAACUCUGUUGUUGUGUUUUGUCGGUCAAACAAUCUGAGAUUGGCGCCUUUCCGUGAUAAAAAGCUGACGGAAAGCAGUUUGACAAUUUUGGAUUUCCGUUUGUGUUUCAUAAUACAUAUCUUGGCAGUAUGCUUGUGAGUUUGUGUUUCGUCAAAAAAAAAAAAUUCCAACACACAACACAAACGGAUGUCAUAAUACAAAUCUUCCGAUUUUGACAACUUGUCUUUACAAUUUGUGUUUAAUAAUCGGGCCUAUUGUGUCUUAUGUCGCAAGCUAUUGUGUAAGCUUCAUCGUGUCAAGUGUCAAACUUAUAAACAAAAGCAUCUGUCGUUGUAGUGCUCCCGAAAGAAUUGGAAAUUCAGUGUUGCAACUAAACAAAAUUGUCCUGUAAGUUGAAUAGUUGACCGAUAACAACAGUCUUUAAUUCAGUCUUUAAGGAAAGUCUUUGAAUUUAUCGAUUAUAGUUUCAGAAUGCCUUAUAAAAUCGUACAAACGAUUGAAGGAGGUGAAGCAUGCUUGAGCGUCGUUCCGAGCCGUUGGGAAGUGAAAGGGAUCCUUCAUUGGCCAAAAAAACAUCUAGUGGCAAAACUACAGCUCGAAGAGGAUUCUGUGCCUUCGGAUAAAUGAGAAAAACUCAACUGCAUUAAAAAAAGGGAGUUUGCUACACGCGCCGAAGCCUACGAUGAACUCAAAAAAAAAUGGAGGAAUAAUCGGACACGGAAGUAUAUGAGCAAGUUUUGCUGCGUCCGCAAAGACAACGACACCAGCGCGUUGAAGAUUGUUUAAAUUUUGUGAAGCAGGAUUUUAACGAGAUCGCGGAACCAACCUCAGACGACGAAUUAUGGUAUUCCCACGGAUGAUGAAGAAAUGAUCUUCGUAAAUACCAUUGAUCAUCUGACUGAAUUAGAUCAAACGCAGCUUCCAUUGAAAGAGCAGAGUCAAUGUUCUACACCACACAUCGUCUAUGUCGAUCCAGCUUCAACUGUGCAGAAUCUAGAAUCAACACAGCUCGCGACCAUCAUCAAUAACCAAAUGCAUAUCAUGGAAAACCAAGACAAAAUAAUGCAGGCUCUAGCGAAGCUGCUUACAUAUUCCGAGUACGUUUUACAAAGUAUUAAAGAAAACCCGAUUGGUGCAUGGCCACUGCCUGCAACGCAUGUAGAAGCAAUGAUGAAUCUUAUUGCUACAUUAGAUAAUCUUCAACAGCUUGAGGCAUCUCUAAAAGAUGAAAGCACCAUGCAAAAGUACAUCCAAAGCAUGAGCUUUAUUUGUGGUACUUCAAGUAAAUCAAACGGGAUCGAUUGCUGCUACAAAUUAGUUGAUUAUUUUAUCACUCGACAAUUCUUGCUGCAAUGUUCCUGGACCGGUGGCUCUAGAGCAGCUGUGUCAAACUCAUUUCAUCAGAGGGCCGCAAGUACAGAUUUUCAGUGAUUCGCGGGCCGCAAAGUUGAGAAAAAAAAUAUACCUCAAUAUUUAUAUAAAAUACUAUUUAAAAUCAUUAUUGUUAAACAAAUUCACUUUUUAUACUCCUCGCUUCAAAUCUGGAAUCGUUACUUAUUCAAAAGUUUGCGAUGUUUUUUUCCAUUGUGCUCUUUUUUAUUCAAAAAAAAAAAGUUUAAUAUACUUUUAAAGUCACAUGCAAUCUCAUUUUAUCCUUAUUAUUAAAAUAGGAUAUUUUUCAUUUGUCGCGUUCUCACACGGCAGUUCUGUUAGAAAAUAUCGCUCAACCCCACUUUUUCACUGAGGUAUAAGCAUUCUGAGCUAUUCAUCGCUGGAUGAAUAACAAAAAUAUUUGCCUGCAAUUUUUUGACAGUUCUAGAGAAAAAUUGUAAUAAAUCGUGUUUAAACAUUAGUUUUCGCUAAUUUCCAAGUCCCAAUUGUUCUAGUGGUAUAUUCAUUUCUAAUAACAAGAACCCGUUGUUCAUGAAUAAUUUUGUUAAAUUACGAUAUUUUUAUCCGACGCAGAUUCGUGGUGUGUGAACCCAAAAAGAUUGGCAAAUAUUUUUUUGACACUUGAAGGGAAAUGAUUUGCUAAUUAAGGAAAGGACUGUGUGAGCUAACCUAUUAAUUAGCUAUGUAUUGCAGUACUUCGGCAUUUCGUUUAUUUUAAUCCUUAAUGUAAAUCUUUUUAUCUUAAGCAUAAUCAUUUCAUUUUGGUUUUGAUUGUCGCGGAGAUUGCAAAGUACAAUUCGUCUUGUAGAAUGUGAGAUGCAAAUAAAUUCCACUUGGCUACAAACGCUUUCGAUAAGUCGUACAUAUUGGAUAUUAACUGAUUUUUAUGGUGGGAUGAUUAGGAAAAAAACAGAAGUGGCUACAACCGAAUAUCAAAGAUGUACUAAGGUCGGAGCCGUACAGAUCUGUUCGGAGCAAUUCGGAGCCGACUGAAGCCUUUACUCGGCAGUCAGAGGCAUUAAGAUCGGUAGGACCGUCAGAAAUGGUUCCGACUCCAGACUAGCCGCUCCGUGCGACAACCGAUGACUCCAACGGUUCCGAAUGACUCUAGAUGGCUCUAUAGGCUUCGGACGGCAACGAGCGAAACUGUUGGUUUAACAAUCCAUCACUAGUUGUUGCAAAGUUUCUAAGUGUGUGUAUCUUGUUAUUUUCAUUCCUUUUUCGUUUCUAGGCAGACGCAAAUCUGUUUUUCCAUAUAGAAUGUGCAAUCGAGUCUGCACAAAAUUAUGCUAAUAUUCAGAAUUUAAUCGAAACAUAAAACGUAUGAGUUUGCAUUCAAUUUAAUGUUUCUUAAGGGUCUCGGUUUUUCUGUACGUACGUGUAGAAUAAGUUUUUUAGAUGUUAUGGGAACAUUAAUGUUAAUUUAGAAAAAUAUAGCGACACAAUGAUUGUUCUUCUCUGGAAAAUUGAAUACACUUCGACAAAUAGUAAUAACAGAUUUUUGGUUUGCAGUGCUUUCAGUACUUCUCAAAAUAUUCUCGCGGGCCGCAUGCGGCCCGCGGGCCGCCAGUUUGACAUACCUGCUCUAGAGGAUCCAAAAGAAAAAAUGGAGAACAAUCAACCCCUGGAAUCACCAGCGAGGAAACGGAGAAAGUGGGACUAAAAUUAAAAAAAAAACUCGUACUCUUUUUCUUAGACUAAUUGUGUUGGCAGAUAAAGAUUUUUCUGAAAUGGAGUGCGACGAUUUUUUCAAAAGAAUUAUCAGAAAUAGCAAGCAAAGAGUAGAUGCCAAAACAAUAACAUCAAAGCAUCGUACCAGAUCUAAACGUCCCAAACAUAACGAAAAUAUUUCUAAACAUAAAUCAGACGAACAGGUUAAGGAAGGAAGUUAGAGCAGCCUUUUAUAUUAUAUUUUUCCUUGUAAGAACGACUUUGUUGGCCGUGUCACUUUAUUCAACCACUUGGUGUUUUUUUUUCUUUUUAAAAGAUAUUUCAUAUUUUUCCUUAGUUCAAUACGUACUGAAAUCCCUUAUCUGAAUUUGAUUCAUUUACAAAUAAGAUUUGUAUCGCGCAAUUAUUAGAAUUUUAAUAAAAAAAACUACAACGUAUGCAACAAUGGUA